GUAAGUGACCUGCCCUUGGUGAGCCCUCACUGCAGACGUGAUCUUUCAACCGCAGGGAGACAACUGUGCUCCACGGGAGAGAGUGGCAUCGGGUCAGGACUGUGCUGUCCUUCAGCUCACAGUGGCUCCGUGCUCAGCCUCUGCACUGCGACCUUGAAGUUCACUAUCAGCAUCUUGCCCUGUCUCCCAGGCUGGAGUGAAAUGGCACAAUCUCGGCUCACUGCAGCCUCAACCUUCCAGGUUCACGUGAUUCUCCUUCCUCAGCCUCCUGAGUAGCUGGGAUUACAGGCAUGUGCCACCACACCCGGCUAAUCGUUUGUAUCUUUAGUGGAGAUGGGGAUCACAAGGUCGG
rnacentral:lncRNA from 13 species